rnacentral:snRNA from 1 species
UAAAUUACAAUGUUGUAGUUAGCUAUAUAUCAAAAAAUAUAGCAACUAAGGUGGAGCAAGUCAUUGUACUAAAGAUGUUUGUAAUACCUUGAUGUUCCCGCUGGGAGCAAUAACAACAAAAUUUCUGAUUGGAAAUAGUCAUUAAACUAACUGGCUAUUUC